rnacentral:lncRNA from 11 species
CAGAAUUCUCAGGCAUUUAUUUCCUAGCCUUUCCCACCCUACCAUGGGUUGAACCUGGAACCUUUUGUAUCCCCCGAUGCAUGCACAAUCCUAUUGUCCCCAAAUAUGGUAUUUUUAACACAUCUGCAUCCUAGUCCUAGUCCUGCAGAGGAGAAAUGCUGGGUUUUCUCUGCACCAUCCCAGUUUUAAAAUAUGAGGCAGAAAGGCAAACACUAGCAGUGCAUGAAAUCCGCAUGUGAAGAACAGUUGUUGCGGGUAAGUACAAGUUAAAAUUUCUUUCGUUUUUCCUUGAUCAUCCCAGGUGGAUUUUCUUUCUCUAUCCACCCAGAAUGAUUGGCUGACCAGGUUUCCACUUGAGAGAGGACCAAGAAACAAAAUCACAUUUUCCAUCUGCCUACCAAUAGGACUGUUGGCAGCUGUUCAGAAGGGAGACCCAGACUCUGAGUGGAGAAACAGAAAAGAGCUGUUUGCUUCAGUCAGCUAUUUUCCUCUUUUUAUAUAUAGUUUUCCAGAAUGGUCUUCAGGUGCUGAAUUUCCUCAGCCAGGAGCUGGUUUUCCUGAAGCAGCCAUUGACACUGCAAGCAAGAUGCAUGGCUUGGAGCAUCCCUGGGGAUCUGUCCCACUGCCACCAAAGCUCCAUCUAUACGUCUCCCAUCCAGACCUGCACUUUGAGAUAAGCUCUUAGCUAUGGUUUGCUUCCAGUCUGAUUCAGUCUUCAGUUCUUUCUCUUCGGGAUGUUUCUGGACUCCCAUUUUGCUUGUCUUGGGACCUCCAGCUGCAGGAACCAGGAGCUUGGUUCUGGAAGGCUUGUUUUCCUCCUGAAGCUUUGGACCCUGACAGGCCACUGAGCUACCCAAGAGAGGCUCUUGGUGUAUUGCAAAUGAAGCUGGGUCAAGAGGGCAGUUCUGC